rnacentral:rRNA from 1 species
UACGUAGGUGGCAAGCGUUGUCCGGAUUUAUUGGGUUUAAAGGGUGCGUAGGCGGUCUUUUAAGUCAGUGCUGAAAUACUCCAGCUUAACUGGAGGGGUGGCAUUGAUACUGGAAGACUUGAGUGCAGUCGAGGUAGGCGGAAUUGACGGUGUAGCGGUGAAAUUCGUAGAUAUUCGCAAGAACACCAGUGGCGAAGGCGGCUCACUGGCCCGGUACUGACGCUGAGGUGCGAAAGCGUGGGGAGCAAACAGG